GAAAGGCGGGCUAAACCCGCGUACAUGCCACCGGGGCAUCCCGGAGGCAGGAAAGGCUUCGGCCGGACAGGGAUGGGCAUGCGGCGCAUUAGGCAGUAGGCGGGGUAACGGCCCACCUAACCGACGAUGCGUAGGGGUUCUGAGAGGAAGGUCCCCCACACUGGUACUGAGACACGGACCAGACUCCUACGGGAGGCAGCAGUGAGGAAUAUUGGUCAAUGGUCGGGAGACUGAACCAGCCAAGCCGCGUGAGGGAGGAAGGUACAGAGUAUCGUAAACCUCUUUUGUCAGGGAACAAAGACUGGGACGCGUCCCCGGAUGAGUGUACCUGAAGAAAAAGCAUCGGCUAACUCCGUGCCAGCAGCCGCGGUAAUACGGAGGAUGCGAGCGUUAUCCGGAUUUAUUGGGUUUAAAGGGUGCGCAGGCGGUCUGUUAAGUCAGCGGUCAAAGCCCGGGGCUCAACCCCGGCCCGCCGUUGAAACUGGCAGUCUCGAGUUGGAGAGAAGUAUGCGGAAUGCGCGGUGUAGCGGUGAAAUGCAUAGAUAUCGCGCAGAACUCCGAUUGCGAAGGCAGCAUGCCGGCUCCACACUGACGCUGAGGCACGAAAGCGUGGGUAUCGAACAGGAUUAGAUACCCUGGUAGUCC
rnacentral:rRNA from 1 species